AAGGGUUGAGCAUCAGUACCUACACUUACACAUAGAUUAUCAAUUCCAAAGUGAGAGGGAGAGAGAGAGAGAGAGACAACAGCCAUGGCUACGAAGUUAGUUUCUACUUUCGCCAUCUUUUUCAUCCUCGUUCUUGUCAUCUCUGAAACGCGUGGGACAGAAGCCCAUGAUGACGAGUGCCUAAAAGAAUACGAUGGCGAGGAUGGUUUCGCCUUGUGCAGGCCUUUCCUAUAUACGUCGCCUUGUUAUACAAGCUGCAAAUUUGACAACGGUGCUAAAAGUGGUAGAUGCAUCCUGGGACCCGGAGAGUUCAUACCUUUAUGCUUCUGCGACUUCUGCGACGAAGAACGUACCGAACGGUUAAUAAGACAAGGAUAAUAAUUCAAUAAAUAAUGUGACGAAGGAUAAGUAAAAUAAAAUAAAGAAACCUAGGCCUUGCCUGGGUUGUUAUUAUUCUGAUUGUUACGGAUCUUUUUAUAUUUUAUUUUCUAUAAAACUAGAAUCAUAUAAA